ACAGUGCCACUGCCAUGAUCUAUAAUGGUAGUGGGAAGAUGUUUAGCCUGAGUGAUCAGCUACAUGGGCCUAAUGGGAUAUCUCUUUUGGCAGAGGGCAGUUUAGUCAACUACAACUUUAAUGGUUCUCAGCAAGAUGGCGCCAGCAUGAUGGAUAACUCGAGCUCUCCAUUUAUCUGUGAGAUACCUGAUAAAAUACAUUGAACAAAUAGACCAGUGACGUAAGCUUUUAAAAGACACUGGAUACCAUUGAUAACUGCCAAAGACCAAUCUUCUCACUUGGUGUAU